rnacentral:rRNA from 1 species
UACGAAGGGGGCUAGCGUUGCUCGGAAUCACUGGGCGUAAAGGGCGCGUAGGCGGAUCUUUAAGUCGGGGGUGAAAGCCUGAGGCUCAACCUCAGAAUUGCCUUCGAUACUGGAGAUCUUGAGACCGGAAGGGGUAAGUGGAACUGCGAGUGUAGAGGUGAAAUUCGUAGAUAUUGGGAAGAACACCAGUGGCGAAGGCGGCUCACUGGCCCGUAACUGACGCUGAGGUGCGAAAGCGUGGGGAGCAAACAGG